AGCGUCGCGUCGCCUUCGCAGUAUCAGAACGCGCGUCGUCGCGAACGUUUUUCCCUUCCGCCGUCGCGUCGUUUUUACUGCGGAGAGGACACGCGCGCGCCCCGCCGCCGAUCCCCCAAUGCGUCAACUCGACGACAACUGACGAAAUUUUCAAAAAAAAAAAAAUUUGGCGCCAAAAAAAAAGUUUUUUUCCCUCUCGUCCGUUAAACACGGCGCUUUAGGAGUUAGUGGAUUUGUGUCCGUUGAUUAAAUACAUUAGUGCUGUUUGAAAAAAAUAAUAGUAGAUUUAAGCUGUAUAAGGAUUUUUCAGUGCUAUCGUUAAUAUUAAGAGCAAUCAAAUGGAGAGCUCCAGGGGGUCAAAGGGUUGAAAUUUACCCUCUGGUAACAUGGAGAUCAAUCAGUCGGGCAUGUGUCGGGUUAUUCGCGGUUUGAUCGGUUUGAGUGGUGAAUAAGGGAAGUUUUCGUGUAUGGGAUGGCUACUAGCGGAUAUCCAGCGAGCAACUUGUCGCUCCUCACUCCUACGGGACGUCACCACGGCGAGGACUCUCUGACGUCCCCGGGCGCCUCCUCGCCCCCGCACGGUCCUCUCGGCCUCCAGGUGAUCAAGGGCACCAUCAUGAUCUCGAUCAUACUCGCCUCGAUCUUCGGCAACUUGUUGGUGAUCGUGUCGGUGAUGCGUCACAGGAAACUGCGCAUCGUCACCAACUAUUACGUCAUCUCGCUCGCGCUCGCCGACAUGCUCGUCGCGAUGUUCGCGAUGAGUUUUAACGCGAGCGUCCAAAUAUCCGGACGGUGGAUGUUCACUUAUACGUUGUGCGACGUGUGGAACAGUUUGGACGUGUACUUUUCCACGGUGUCCAUUUUGCAUUUGUGCGAUAUCAGUAUAGACAGGUACUACGCCAUCUGCAAACCCCUACAGUACUCCCUGUACUUGACCAAAAAGGUGGUGGCCCUGAUGCUGGUCAACACCUGGGUGAGUCCCGCGUUCCUCAGCUUCCUCCCCAUCUUUCUCGGUUGGUACAGCACGGAGGCGCACGAGCAAUUCCGGCUCGAACAUCCGGACCAGUGCAACUUCGAGGUGAACAAAGUCUACGCGGUGAUCAGCAGUAGCAUCAGUUUCUGGAUCCCCGCCUCGAUUAUGAUCUACAUGUACCUGCAGAUCUUCAAGGAGGCCAAUAGACAGGAGAAGGAGAUGUUUAACAGACACGGGGCGGCCAUGUUGUUGCACACGAAUAAUACCAACGGUGACAUGUUGUCGAAUUCGGGGGGAUCCUCGAAGACGUUGACCUUGCACGAGAUCAAUCAGGAUUUGCACCAUACGCCGACGAGGGAGAGGAGCAUUAGUAGGAUGAAGAGGGAACAUAAGGCGGCCAGAACUUUGGGGAUUAUUAUGGGCAUCUUCAUCCUCUGCUGGCUCCCCUUCUUCCUCUGGUACCUGAGCGUCUCCCUCUGCACCGACUGCAAGAGUCCCGAAGUGGUGGUCGCGAUGCUCUUCUGGAUCGGCUACUUCAACUCCACCCUGAACCCCCUGAUCUACGCGUACUUCAACAAGGACUUUCGGGAGGCCUUCAAGAACACCCUCCAGUGUGCGUUUUGUUCCCUGUGCCGUCGUCCGCCGUCCGAUUUGAACUACAUCGACCAGAGGAGGCCCAGUGUGCGUUACGAGGAUCGGACUCGAAGUGUUUUCUCGGAAACGUACCUGAAGCACAACGACCGCAGGAGUUCUGAGUUCGGGUCGACCCUCUGAGUGGACCUUUCUAGUAGCAGAUUGACCACCACCAGUUUCUGAUCGGAAACGCGGGUUUAAGAGGUUUGAUCCGGGUGGGGUGUGCGAGGUAAACGCGGUUGAUUUUUUUUUUGAGGGUGUUUAGGUGGGUUUAUUCGGGUUGGUUUUGCGCGGUUUGGGUGCGGUUCAGUUUUUCCAGGCAGUUUUUCAAUUAUUUUUAAAGUGUUCCAUAGUGCUGGAAAAAAAUUGCCAGGCAAAAUUCCAGGCGAGUUUUCGAACUUUUUCAGACAUUUUGAAAAUUUCUCCGAUUUUUCCAGGCAGUUGAAUUUUAUUUUCCAGUAGUUUAAGAUAAUUAUUUACUUCUUCCAGGCAAUUGACGUAAUUUUCAGGCUUUUGAUUUUUUUCUUGUACCGAACAUUUUCCAGGUAAAUGGGGUCCAUUUUCCAUUUGGUGCAUUGCGUGCGAUGUAAACGGGGUGAAUUGACUAAAAUAAUUUUUCAUUUCUUCCAGACAGUUCAAAUUGUUUUUAAAAAAAGUGGGUGUAAACAGGGUUAAUUACCGUCGAGUUAAGUUGAUUUUGGUUGGGUUUACUCGGGUUGGUUUUCCUCGAUUUGGGUGUGGUUCAGUUUUUCCAGGCAAGUUUCCGAGUAAUUAAAAUUAUUUUUAGGGUGUUCCAUAGAGCUGGAAAAAAAAAUUCAGGCAUUUUAGGUUAAUUUGAUUUUAAUGAGCUUACAAACUUUUUCCAGGCAGUUGAAUUUGAUUUUUUUUUGAACCUAACAUUUUACAGGCAAAUGGGGUCCAUUUUCCAUUUGGUGCAUUGUAUGCGAUGUAAACGGAAUGAAUUCAAUGUUGAGUGAAGUUGAUUUUGGUUGAGUUUACUCGGGUUGAUUUUGCUCGAGUACCGGAAAGAGAGAAUCCGCAAGAACCACACAUUUCCCACUAAUUUUAAGUGCACGGUAUAAUAAAGCGAAAUUCAAAUUUGGCGCCAUAAUCAAAAUUUUUCCCGCCAUUAUGAGAGGUUUCCAGUUUUUCCAGGCAAUUAAGGCUAAUUUAUCACUUUUUCCAGGUAGUUGGAAUUUUUUUCUCAUUUUCCAGAUUGCUAAAAUAAUUUUUAAAAUGUGUCAAGCUUCUGGAAAAAAAAAUUCCAAGCGUUUGGGGUCAUUUUCCUAAUUUUCCAGAUAGUUGAAUUAAUGUUUUAAAACAAUUGGGGUCACUUUUCAAACUGUUCCAGACAUUCAGGGUAAUUUUUUUUUUAAUUUUCUAGGCAAUAGGAAUGACUUUUCCGAUAGUCUAAAAUAAAUUUUUCCAUGUAGUUGAGACCAGUUUUCCAGGGAGUUGAAGUCAUUUUCCAGGCAUUUGAUGUCAUUUUUAAAACGUCAAAAAAAAAACAAACGUUUCUGGAAAAAAUUGCCAGGUAGUUUUCCAGGCAAUUUUCAAAACUUUUCCAGGCAGUUAAAGCUAAUGAUUCAAAGGUAUCAAGUUUUAGAAAUAUUUCUCAUUUAUUCCAGGAAUUUGAGGUGAUGUUUAAAAUUUUUCCAGAUAUUUGGGGUCCGUUUCCCAAUUUUUCGCCAACAGUUUAAAUAUAAUUGUUGCGGCAGCUCUGGAGUAAUUUGACAUUUUUUCCAGGCAGUAGGGGUCACUUUUGAAGCUUUCGGGGUCAUUUCCCCCCAAUAUUUCCAAGCAAUUAAAAUAUUUGUUAUUAAUGUUUCAUGUGCCUGGAAAAGAAAAACCAUGCAUUCGAGGUCGGUUUUCCCUUUUUUCCAGGCAUUCGAGGUAAUUUUUUUUAAAUUUUCCAGGCCGUUGGGGUCAUUUUCUUAAUUUUCCAGGCAGUUCAAAUUAUUUUUUCAAACAAUUAUUAGGGUCACUUUUCAAGCUCUUCCAGGCAGUAGGAGUAAUUUUUUUUAAUUUUCCAGGCAAUUGAAGUAACUCCUCCUAUACCAUAAAAUAAAGUGUUCCCAUUUUCCAGGAAGUUGAAGUCAUUUUCCAGGCAUUUGAUAUCAUCUUUGAAACGUUUAAAGGUUCUGGAAAAUAUUUUUUUAUUUCUUCAGUCAGCUUUUCCACGGUUUUCCAGGCGAUUGGGUUAAUUUUAAUAGGCAAUCGUGCCAGUUCGUCCAGACAGUUGAAAUAUUUUUUUUGUUUUAAGUUUCUGGAAAAAAAAUCCAGGCAUUUGGGGUCAUUUUUUUAGGCAAUUUGAAUAAUUUUUCCAGGAAAUUGAUAUUGUUUUUAGCCUUACGAAAACAAAUUUCCAGGUAUUUAGGGUCAUUUUCCCAUUGUAUCCAGGCAGUAAAUGAUUUUUUUGACAGGUCUGGAAUAAUUUUUCCAGGCAAUUAAAAUUAUUUUUAAGGUGUUCCAUAGUUCUGAAAAAAAAAAUUCCAGGCGAAUUUUCGAAUUUUUUAAGACAUUUUCAAAAUUUCUCCGAUUUUCCAGGCAGUUGAAUUUUAUUUUCUAGUAGUUUAAAAUGAUUUUCUACAAUUUCCAGGCAAUUGACAUAGUUUUUACAUUUUCCAGGCAAAUGGGGUCAAUUUUCCAUUUGGUGCAUUGCGUGCGAUGUAAACGGAGUGAGUUUACUGUUAAGUUGAUUUUGGUUGGGUUUACUUGGGUUGGUUUUGCUCGACUUGGGUGCGGUUCAGUUUUUCCAGGCAAGUUUCCGAGCAACUAAAAUUAUUUUUAAAAUGUUCCAUAGUGCUGGAAAAAAAAUUCCAGGCAAAAUUCCAGGCGAGUUUUCGAACUUUUUCAAAAUUUCUCCUAUUUUUCCAGGCAGUUGAGUUUUAUUUUCCAGUGGUUUAAAAUGAUUAUCUACCUUUUCCAGGCAAUUGACAUAAUUUUUAAAAGUUUCAUAAUUUUUACAUUUUCCAGGCAAAUGGGGGUCAAUUUUCCAUUUGGUGCAUUACGUACGAUGUAAACGGGGUGAAUUGACAGUUUAGUCAAGUUGAUUUUGAUUGAGUUUACUCGGGUUGGCUUUACUCGAAUUAGAUUUGGUUCUGUUUUCCAAUUUUUCCCAAUCAGUUGGAGUAAUUUUUCCAGGCAAUUGAGGUCCUGUUCUUAAUGUUUCCAGACAGUUGAAAUAAUUUUUUUUAAUUAUCUAAAAUAAUUUUUCAUUUCUUCCAGGCAGUUCAAAUUGUCUUAACAAAACGAUGUAAACUGGGUUAAUUACCGUCGUGUUAAGUUGAUUUUGGUUGGGUUUACUCGGGUUGGUUUUGCUCGAUUUGGGUGCGGUUCAGUUUUUCCAGGCAAGUUUCCGAGCAACUAAAAUUAUUUUUAAAAUGUUCCAUAGUGCUGGAAAAAAAUUCCAGGCAAAAUUCCAGGCGAGUUUUCGAACUUUUUCAGACGUUUUCAAAAUUUCUCCGAUUUUUCCAGGCAGUUGAAUUUUAUUUUCCAGUAGUUUAAAAUAAUUAUCUACUAUUUCCAGGCAAUUGACAUAAUUUUUACAUUUUCCAGGCAAAUGGGGUCAAUUUUCUAUUUGGUGCAUUGCGUGCGAUGUAAACGGAGUGAGUUUACUGUUAAGUUGAUUUUGGUUGGGUUUACUUGGGUUGGUUUUGCUCGAUUUGGGUGCGGUUCAGUUUUUCCAGGCAAGUUUCCGAGCAACUAGAAUUAUUUUUUAAAUGUUCCAUAGUGCUGGAAAAAAAAAUCCAGGCAAAAUUCCAGACGAGUUUUCGAACUUUUUCAGACAUUUUCAAAAUUUCUCCGAUUUUUCCAGGCAAUUGACAUAAUUUUUACAUUUUCCAGGCAAAUGGGGUCAAUUUUCCAUUUGGUGCAUUGCGUGCGAUGUAAACGGAGUGAAUUGACUGUUGAGUCAAGUUGGUUUUGGUUGAGUUUACUCUAGUUGGUUUUGCUCGAGUUACAUUUGCUUCUGUUUUCCAAUCAGUUGGAGUCAUUUUUCCAGGCAAUUGAAGGCAUUUUGUCAACGUUUCCAGGUAGCUGAAUAUACUUUCUAACUUUUUCAAGUUUCUGGAAAUACAUUUCUGAGGAUUUGGGUUAAAAUCACUAAUUUUUCCAGGCAGUUAAAAUAUUUUUUUUCCUAAGUUUUGGAUUAAUUUUCCAUUUUUUUCGAGUAACAGUGGUUAUUAUUCAAGCUUUUUCCAGGCAAUUGAGGUGCUGUUUUUAAUGUUUCCAGACAGUUGAAAUAAUUUUUUUUAAUUAUUUAAAAUAAUUUUCCAUUUCUUCCAGGCAGUUCAAGUGCGGUGUAAACUGGGUUAAUUACCGUCGUGUUAAGUUGAUUUUGGUUGGGUUUACUCGGGUUGGUUUGGCUUGAGUUGGGUUGGGUUGGGUUUUCCAUUUUUGCAGGUAGUUGGAGUUACUUAACGAAUUUUGCCAGACUUGCCUGGAAAAAUGGUAAAAUUAAUGCAAAAUUGACAAAAAAUUAUUUAACUUUUGGGGUCGUUUUUCAAAAUUUUCCAGGCAGUUUUGGAUUAAUUUUCCAUUUUUUUCAGGCAUUUUGGGGUCACUUUUUAAGGCUUUCCAGACAUAUGGAGAUGUUCUCUCAAAUUUAUCCAUGCAAUUGGGGUCAUUUUUCCAGGAAUUUUUAAAAUAUUUUAAUUUUUUGAUAAAUAAAAUUUUAGGCAUUUAGGUUCAGUUUUUCAUUUAUUUCAGGCAAUUAGGGUCAUUUUCUCCAAUUUUCCAGGCAAUUCGAAUAAUUUUUAAGGCGUUUCAAGAUUCUGGAACAAUUUUUUCAGGUAGUUGCUUUUAUUUUUUUCCAGGGAUUAGGUCUCUAGACUACGUUUUCCAGGAAAUUUGGGUUAUUUUUUCACUCACUUAAAAUCACUUUUAAGACGUUUUAAGCUCCUGGAACAUCUCUUCCAGGCAUUUGGGGGUCAUCGAACCAAUUUUCCAGGCAAUGCAAAUAAUUUUCCUAAUUUUUUCAGGCAUUUUAAAUAAUUUUUUUUUUCACUAAUUUUUCCAUUUUUUUACAGGCAAUUAGAGUCACCUUUUCAGUUUUUCCAGGCAGUUGAAAUAAUGUUCAAUGUUUUUUAAGCUUCUGGAAAAAAGAUCCAAGAAUUUGAGAUCAGUUUUCCAGUUUUUCCGGACGGUUGGCAUAUUUUCACCAUUUUUUUCAAGCAGUUCAAAUAAUUUCUUCGGUAUUUUUCCAGGUAGUUUGACUCAUUUUCCGAUUUUUUUCCAGGCAGUUUCAAUCACUUUUCCGGACUAUUCAAGUCAUUUUUUAACCGUUUUAGGGUUCUUUUAAUUUUCCAGGCAGUUGGAAUAAAUUUCCCAAUUGUUCCAUGAAGUUCAAAUAACUUUUCCAAUUUUUUCAGGCAAUGGGGUCACUUUUUAAAAUUUUCCAGGCAAUCGGGAUCAUUUUCCCAAUAUUUCCAGGCAGUUAGCAAUUUGUUAAAAUAAUUUUUUAUUUCUUCCAGGAAGUUGGAUUAGACUCAUUUUUUCAAGCAAUUCAAGUAAUAUUUAAAGCAUUCCAGGCUUCCAUAAUACAUUUUCCAGGAAAUUGGGGUCAAUUUUCCCUUUUUGUCCAUGCAGUUGGACUUACUUUUUCAAACUUCUGGAAAAAAAGUCCAGGCAUCAGGGGUCAGUUUUUCGAGGCAACCCAAUUGUUUGACCCCAACAGGAUUUUUUGUGAUCCAUUGAAAAUUACUCAAUAACUCCAAAACGGUUGUAUUUACGAAAAAACUUUUAAGAACCUCUUUGCUAAAGAAACUCAUCGACUUUCAUAUGAAACUAAAAUCAUUAAAAUCGGUGCAUAAGUUUUUAAGAUAUUUGGAUUUUUGUAAAGCCUUUGAUGGCAUCAAGAUUUUUUUCAGUCGAUUGGAAAACCACUCAAUAACUCCAAAACGGUUGUAUUUACAAAAAAACUUGUAAAGACCUUUUUGGUAAAGAAACUUAUUGGCUUUCAUAUGAAAUUAAAAUCAUUAAAAUCGGUGCAUAAGUUUUUAAGAUACUUGGAUUUUUGUAAAGCCUUUGAUGGUAUCAAGAUUUUUUUCAGUCGAUUGGAAAACCACUUAAUAACUCCAAAACGGUUGUAGUUAGAAAAAAACUUUUAAGGACCUUUUUGCUAAAGAAACUCAUCGACUUUCAUAUGAAAUCAAAAUCAUUAAAAUCGGUGCAUAAGUUUUUAAGAUAAUUGGAUUUUUGUAAAGCCUUUGAUGACAUCAAGAUUUUUUUCAAUCGAUUGCAAAAUCACUCAAUAACUCCAAAACGGUUGAGUUUAUGAAAAAACUGUUAGGAACCUUUUCGAUCAAGAAACUCAUCAACUUUCAUAUGAAUCUAAAAUCAUUAAAAUCGGUGCAUAAGUUUUUAAGAUACAUGGAUUUUUGUAAAGCCUUUGAUGGAAUCAAGAUUUUUUUCAAUCGAUUGGAAAACCACUCAAUAACUCCAAAACGGUUGUAUUUAGAAAAAAACUUUUAAGGACCUUUUUGCUAAAGAAACUUAUUGACUUUCAUAUGAAUCUAAAAUCAUUAAAAUCGGUGCAUAAGUUUUUAGGAUACAUGGAUUUUUGUAAAGCCUUUGAUGGCAUCAAGAUUUUUUUUAAUCGAUUGGAAAACCACUCAACAACUCCAAAACGGUUGUAUUUACAAAAAAAAUGUUAAGGACCUUUUUUCUAAAGAAACUCAUCGACUUUCAUAUGAAACCAAAAUCAUUAAAAUCGGUGCAUAAGUUUUUAAGAUACAUGGAUUUUUGUAAAGCCUUUGAUGGAAUCAAGAUUUUUUUCAAUCGAUUGGAAAACCACUCAAUAACUCCAAAACGGUUGUAGUUAGAAAAAAACUUUUAAGAACCUCUUUGCUAAAGAAACUCAUCGACUUUCAUAUGAAAUCAAAAUCAUUAAAAUCGGUGCAUAAGUUUUUAAGAUACAUGGAUUUUUGUAAAGCCUUUGAUGGAAUCAAUAUUUUUUUCAAUCGAUUGGAAAACCACUUAAUAACUCCAAAACGGUUGAAUUUACGAAAAAACUGUUAGGAACCUUUUUGGUAAAGAAACUCAUUGGCUUUAAUAUGAAUCUAAAAUCAUUAAAAUCGGUGCAUAAGUUUUUAAGAUACAUGGAUUUUUGUAAAGCCUUUGAUGGAAUCAAGAUUUUUUUCAAUCAAUUCAAAAAUCACUCAAUAACUCCAAAACGGUUGAAUUUACGAAAAAACUGUUAGGAACCUUUUCGAUCAAGAAACUCAUGAGCUUUCAUACGCACCCAAAACCAAUAAAAUCGUGACAUCCGUUUUGAAAAUAUUCAAACUUUAAUUUAAUGCUUAAAGUAACUUCACCCAAUUAACCUCAACUCAAAUUAAACCGCAAACCUCACAUGCCUCGGCGAUCAAACAAAUGAAAACCUCCAACAAUCUGCUACUAGCCCUUACUCCUCCCUCCUCCCUUCAUCCCCCCAAACAACCCUUUGCCAAAGUAAACAAAUGAAUGGUGCUGUAUUUUGUAAGAUUAUUUCCUCAAUUAUUAUUAUUAUAUGGGAAACCCUUGGAAGGGAAAAUUGGCGCAGUUUUCCCUAUCGGGGCCACCCUUCCUCCUCUCCUAUUAUACGUAACUAAUAAUGUACAUAAGUGAUAGCUAAAUAGGUACAUUUAUUAUGAUUUCACUCUUUCUAUUGGCGAAAAUUGUACAUAAUUGCCAAAAAAAAAUGCGUAAUAAAAUCUACUAAAUAAAUGAGACGAAAAAAAUUGUACAUAGGGUGUGCUAUAACGACUAAUUUAGGCCCUUAAGGGCGUACCUAUAUACUUAAUAAUGUAAAUAUAUUUAUGCAUAUAAGACUGGAUUUUAUAGUAUAUACGGGGUGUGCAAAUUAACCGAUUGAGGUGGUGAAAAUGGAACAGAGCUGUGUUGGAAGUUAUGUAGGAAAUGUUCUGAUUUUAAGUGGGACACCCUGUAUAUUUUUACACGGAUCGAUAGCAAUUGUUUUUCUAAGCAAAAAUGGUUAUGUGCGUUUUUCUCUUUAAGUUGAAAAUGACAGAGUUAGGGAGGUUUUUAAGAGAGGUUGUACAUUUUUUAGUACAAUUUUAAAGAGUAGAUUAUUGGUUUGAAAUAUUGUACUGGAAUAAGGUUAUGACCUAAGACUCUUCUGAAAGUGGUACAGUUUUUAGUACAAUUUUCUCUUAUAGUAUUAAUUUUAUUAGUCGUUAUACAGACCGAUCAGGAUAUUGAAUUUUUAAACAAUGUUUAAGAGAGACAAGAUAAACGAGUCGAUUGGUAUAGUACAAUUUUUGAAUAAUUUGUACUAAAUUCAAUUUUUCAAAGGGGUCCAUAUUAAGUACAAUUUUUUAAAUCUAGUACAAUUUUUAGUAUAAUUUCAUACAGUUUUAAAAGUAUAGGAGGAUUGUUCUUGACUAGUAAAGGAUAAAAGAUAUUAAUCUGAUUUUGUACUACUUAAAAAAUUGUACAAAAAAAAUGUUGUGCGUGGCACCACCAUAUAAUGGUUCUGAAAAUAGUACAAUUUUUAGUACAAUUUUGUCUUUUUCUCUAUUGUUUUUAAUUUUAAGGUAAAUUGUACAGGCAGGCAAAUGAUUAAGUUUUUUCAAAAAUUUAUAAUUUAGUAACUCCCUAAUUAUUUGUACUAACGCCAAUAUAUGUAUGUACGGUCAAAGGCUUUUUUAGUACAAUUUUAAGAAGUCGAUUAAUGGUGAUUACAUUUU